AUCAGAAAAAGGCAAACCUAUUGAGAAGUAGGGACGCAAAGUUACAGAUCCGUAAAAUGCAUAGGAUUUCGGAUGGCUGAGCUACCUGA
rnacentral:ncRNA from 1 species